UUUCCGUAGGUGAACCUGCGGAAGGAUCAUUAUUGUAUAACCGAGGUGCGAGGGCUGUCGCUGACCCGAAAGGUCGUGCACGCCCGAGUGCCCCCGCACACAUCCAUCUCACCCCUAUGUGCACCACCGCGUGGGUCCCCCUUUGGCUUGUUCGGAGGGGGGCUUACGUUUUCACACAAACUUUGUAUGCAGUGUAGAAUGUAUUUUUUGUUUUUGCGAUCACGCAAUCAAUACAACUUUCAACAACGGAUCUCUUGGCUCUC
rnacentral:misc_RNA from 1 species